UACGUAGGGUGCAAGCGUUAAUCGGAAUUACUGGGCGUAAAGCGUGCGCAGGCGGUGAUGUAAGGCAGGUGUGAAAUCCCCGGGCUCAACCUGGGAACUGCAUUUGUGACUGCAUCGCUGGAGUGCGGCAGAGGGGGAUGGAAUUCCGCGUGUAGCAGUGAAAUGCGUAGAUAUGCGGAGGAACACCGAUGGCGAAGGCAAUCCCCUGGGCCUGCACUGACGCUCAUGCACGAAAGCGUGGGGAGCAAACAGG
rnacentral:rRNA from 1 species